rnacentral:rRNA from 1 species
AAUGAACGCUGGCGGCAGGCCUAACACAUGCAAGUCGAGCGAGCGGCGGACGGGUGAGUAAUGUCUGGGAAACUGCCUGAUGGAGGGGGAUAACUACUGGAAACGGUAGCUAAUACCGCAUACCAUGCGCUGUGCCCAGAUGGGAUUAGCUGGUAGGUGGGGUAACGGCGCACCUAGGCGACGAUCCCUAGCUGGUCUGAGAGGAUGACCCGCCACACUGGAACUGAGACACGGCCCAGACUCCUACGGGAGGCAGCAGUGGGGAAUAGUGCACAAUGGGCGCAAGCCUGAUACAGCCAUGCCGCGUGUGUGAAGAAGGCCUGCGGGUUGUAAAGCACUUUCAGCGGGGAGGCGUUACCCGAAGAAGAAGCACCGGCUAACUCCGUGCCAGCCGCCGCGGUAAUUC